UACGUAGGGUGCGAGCGUUGUCCGGAAUUAUUGGGCGUAAAGGGCUCGUAGGCGGUUUGUCGCGUCGGGAGUGAAAACCCAGGGCUUAACCCUGGGCUGGCUUCCGAUACGGGCAGGCUAGAGGUAUGCAGGGGAGAACGGAAUUCCUGGUGUAGCGGUGAAAUGCGCAGAUAUCAGGAGGAACACCGGUGGCGAAGGCGGUUCUCUGGGCAUUACCUGACGCCGAGGAGCGAAAGUGUGGGGAGCGAACAGG
rnacentral:rRNA from 1 species